rnacentral:rRNA from 1 species
CCUACGGGUGGCAGCAGUGAGGAAUAUUGGUCAAUGGACGCAAGUCUGAACAAGCCAUGCCGCGUUCAGGAAGACGGCUCUAUGAGUUGUCAACUGCUUUUGUACGAGGGUAAACGCAGAUUCGCGUAUCUGUCUGAAAGUAUCGUACGAAUAAGGAUCGGCUAACUCCGUGCCAGCAGCCGCGGUAAUACGGAGGAUUGAAGCGUUAUCCGGAUGUAUUGGGUUUACAGGGUGCGUAGGCGUUCGGAUAAGUUAGAGGUGAAAUACAGAGGCUCAACUUCGGAAUUGGCUCUGAUACUGUUCGGCGAGCGAGUAGUUGCGGUAGGCGGAAUGUAUGGUGUAGCGGUGAAAUGCUUAGAGAUCACGCAGAACCCCGAUUGCGAAGGCAGCAUGCCGGCUUCCGACUGACGCUGAAGCACGAAAGCGUGGGGAUCGAACAGGAUUAGAUACCCCUGUAGUC